rnacentral:rRNA from 1 species
AUUGAACGCUGGCGGCAUGCCUUACACAUGCAAGUCGAACGGCAGCACGGGAGCUUGCUCCUGGUGGCGAGUGGCGAACGGGUGAGUAAUACAUCGGAACGUACCCAGGAGUGGGGGAUAACGUAGCGAAAGUUACGCUAAUACCGCAUAUUCUGUGAGCAGGAAAGCGGGGGAUCGCAAGACCUCGCGCUCUUGGAGCGGCCGAUGUCGGAUUAGCUAGUUGGUGAGGUAAAAGCUCACCAAGGCGACGAUCCGUAGCAGGUCUGAGAGGAUGAUCUGCCACACUGGGACUGAGACACGGCCCAGACUCCUACGGGAGGCAGCAGUGGGAAUUUUGGACAAUGGGGGCAACCCUGAUCCAGCCAUGCCGCGUGAGUGAAGAAGGCCUUCGGGUUGUAAAGCUCUUUCGGCGGGGAAGAAAUGGCAACGGCUAAUAUCCGUUGUUGAUGACGGUACCCGCAUAAGAAGCACCGGCUAACUACGUGCCAGCAGCCGCGGUAAAAC